AGGGGGACCUUCGGGCCUCUUGCCAUCAGAUGUGCCCAGAUGGGAUUAGCUUGUUGGUGAGGUAACGGCUCACCAAGGCGACGAUCCCUAGCUGGUCUGAGAGGAUGACCAGCCACACUGGAACUGAGACACGGUCCAGACUCCUACGGGAGGCAGCAGUGGGGAAUAUUGCACAAUGGGCGCAAGCCUGAUGCAGCCAUGCCGCGUGUAUGAAGAAGGCCUUCGGGUUGUAAAGUACUUUCAGCGGGGAGG
rnacentral:rRNA from 1 species